rnacentral:rRNA from 1 species
UACGAACUGUGCGAGCGUUGUUCGGAUUCACUGGGCGUAAAGGGUGCGUAGGUGGUGAGGUAAGUCGGAUGUGAAAUCUCCGAGCUCAACUCGGAAAAUGCAUUGGAAACUACCUUGCUAGAGGGUUGGAGGGGGGACUGGAAUACUUGGUGUAGCAGUGAAAUGCGUAGAUAUCAAGUGGAACACCAGUGGCGAAGGCGAGUCCCUGGACAACACCUGACACUGAGGCACGAAAGCUAGGGGAGCAAACAGG